rnacentral:rRNA from 1 species
UGGCUCAGAUUGAACGCUGGCGGCAGGCUUAACACAUGCAAGUCGAGCGGUAACAUUUCUAGCUUGCUAGAAGAUGACGAGCGGCGGACGGGUGAGUAAUACUUAGGAAUCUACCUAGUAGUGGGGGAUAGCUCGGGGAAACUCGAAUUAAUACCGCAUACGACCUACGGGAGAAAGGGGGCAACUUGUUGCUCUCGCUAUUAGAUGAGCCUAAGUCGGAUUAGCUAGAUGGUGGGGUAAAGGCCUACCAUGGCGACGAUCUGUAGCUGGUCUGAGAGGAUGAUCAGCCACACCGGAACUGAGACACGGUCCGGACUCCUACGGGAGGCAGCAGUGGGGAAUAUUGGACAAUGGGGGCAACCCUGAUCCAGCCAUGCCGCGUGUGUGAAGAAGGCCUUUUGGUUGUAAAGCACUUUAAGCAGUGAAGAAGACUCCGUGGUUAAUACCCACGGACGAUGACAUAGCUGCAG